GACAGAGGUGGCGAGCGUUAUCCGGAUUGACUGGGCGUAAAGGGCGUGUAGGCGGUUCUAUAAGUCGGUCGUGAAAGGCGUCGGCUCAACCGAAGCAGUGCGACCGAGACUGUAGGGCUUGGAGCGCGGAAGAGGAAAGGGGAAUUCUCGGUGUAGCGGUGAAAUGCGUAGAUAUCGAGAGGAACACCUGCGGCGAAGGCGGGUUGCUGGGCUGACACUGACGCUGACAGCGCGAAAGCUAGGGGAGCGAACGGG
rnacentral:rRNA from 1 species